rnacentral:sRNA from 2 species
AUCACUGUUAAUCUAUCUAUUACUGUCAAUCUAUCUAUCACUGCUAAUCUAUCACUGCUAAUCUAUCACUGCUAAUCUAUCACUAUUAAUCUAUCUAUCACUAUCAAUCUAUCUACUACUGUCAAUUUAUCUAUCACUGUCAAUCUAUCUAUCACUGUCAAUCUAUCUACCACUGUCAAUCUAUCUACCACUGCUAAUCUAUCACUGCUAAUCUAUUGCUGCUAAUCUAUUGCUGCUAAUCUAUUACUGCUAAUCUAUUGCUGUUAAUCUAUCUAUCACUGCUAAUCUAUUGCUGUCAAUCUAUCUACUACUAUCAAUCUAUCUACUGCUGUCAAUCUAUCUACCACUGCUAAUCUAUCACUGCUAAUCUAUUGCUGCC